CCCGUCCUCCUCAGCCUCAUUGGACCAGCGCCCUACGCCCACGACCUCCACGCCCUUCCCGAAGCCAUCGAGGUCGAGAAGCGCUCCAAGGACGUUCUGGUGAUCGAUGGAAGGACUUACUCGCAGAAAACCUGAAGUUCUUGAAUGCAAUGAAAGUAUUCCUGAGGUGCUGCCUGUGAAGAAUCCCAUGGACAAGUAAUUAAGAUACCUGUCUAUAUGUGGAAGACAUGACAGAAUACAUUCAGCAGAAGAAAGAAUUAGUUAUAGGACUUUCAUGUAAUUUUUAAAUGGUACUGCUUACCAUUAAAUCAUUAUAUUUUGUAUUUGGUGUAAACUGUGUAUUUCUGAGUGUCGUGAUCAUUAACAUUAUUACAAGUAAGAUUAGUUCUUUGUAAAUGAGAACUUGACUAGGAUGUAAGUAGAUUAUUUAAAUUGCUUCAUAUUCAUGUCAAAUUUAUCAGUAAUAUAAAUUUGAAUACAAUAAGCAUUGUGUCAAUUUCUUUGUGACAAAUAUUGCACAAGUCAAAUGGUUUUAAACCACUGUAUACAUCUUUACUGUAACUUGCAAGGUAUAUUAUAUAUAUGCAUAAUAAAUAUCUUCUUUAGGCA